GACGAACGCUGGCGGCGUGCUUAACACAUGCAAGUCGAACGGAAAGGCCCUGCUUUUGUGGGGUGCUCGAGUGGCGAACGGGUGAGUAACACGUGAGUAACCUGCCCUAGACUUUGGGAUAACUUCAGGAAACUGGGGCUACUACCGGAUAGGAGCUCCUGCUGCAUGGUGGGGGUUGGAAAGUCUCGGCUGUUGGGGAUGGACUGGCGGCUUAUCAGCUUGUUGGUGGGGUAGUGGCUUACCCAGGCUUUGACGGGUAGCCGGCCUGAGAGGGUGACCGGCCACAUUGGGACUGAGAUACGGCCGAGACUCCUACGGGAGGCAGCAGUGGGGAAUACUGCACAAUGGGCGGAAGGCUGAUGCAGCAACGCCGCGUGCGGGAAAACGGCCUUCGGGUUGUAAACCGCUUGCGGCUGUGACGAAGCGUGAGUGACGGGAAUGGGUAAAGAAGCAACGGCUAACUACGUG
rnacentral:rRNA from 1 species